rnacentral:rRNA from 1 species
GACGAACGCUGGCGGUGUGCUUAACACAUGCAAGUGGUGCGACGAACCAGAGCUUGCUCUGGGGCAAAGCCGCGAACGGGUGAGUAACACGUGGGUAAUCUACCCCGAUGACCGGGACAACCCGAGGAAACUCGGGCUAAUACCGGAUGUGGUACGGAGACAUAAGUCUCUUUACUAAAGGUAGCUUCGGCUUCCGCAUUGGGAGGGGCCCGCGGCCCAUUAGCUAGUUGGUGGGGUCAAGGCCUACCAAGGCAACGAUGGGUAGCUGGUCUGAGAGGACGAUCAGCCACACUGGGACUGAGACACGGCCCAGACUCCUACGGGAGGCAGCAGUGGGGAAUCUUGCGCAAUGCGCGAAAGCGUGACGCAGCAACACCGCGUGAGGGAAGACGGCCUUAGGGUUGUAAACCUCUUUCAGAUGGGACGAAGGUGAUGCGGUGAAUAGCCGAUGUCAUUGACGGUACCGUCAGAAGAAGCUCCGGCUAACUACGUAGCCAGCAGCCGCGGUAAU